ensembl:snRNA U6 U6 spliceosomal RNA
UCGCUUUGGCAGCACACAGAAUAAAACUGGAAUGAUACACAGAAGAUCAGCAUGGUCCAUGCACAAGGGUGACAAGCAAGUUCGUGAAGCAUUCCAUAUUUUU